rnacentral:rRNA from 1 species
CAGUCGGACGGGAUUUGGGAACUUGCUCCCAAUGAGAGUGGCGCACGGGUGCGUAACACGUAUGUAACCUACCUUUAUCAGGGGAAUAGCCUCUCGAAAGAGAGAUUAAGUCCGCAUAACAUUAAGACACAGCAUUGUGAUCUAAUCAAAUAUUUAUAGGAUAAAGAUGGGCAUGCGGAACAUUAGCUAGUUGGUAAGGUAACGGCUUACCAAGGCUACGAUGUUUAGGGGAUCUGAGAGGAUGACCCCCCACACUGGUACUGAGACACGGA